UACGAAGGGUGCAAACGUUGCUCGGAAUCAUUGGGCGUAAAGCGCACGUAGGCGGCCCCAAAAGUUGGAUGUGAAAUCCCUCGGCUCAACCGAGGACGUGCAUCCAAAACUGUGGGGCUUGAGUACUGAAGAGGAUCGCGGAAUUCCCGGUGUAGAGGUGAAAUUCGUAGAUAUCGGGAGGAACACCAGUGGCGAAGGCGGCGAUCUGGGCAGAUACUGACGCUGAGGAGCGAAAGCGUGGGGAGCGAACAGG
rnacentral:rRNA from 1 species